rnacentral:rRNA from 1 species
GACGAACGCUGGCGGCGUGCCUAAUACAUGCAAGUAGAACGCUGAAGGAGGAGCUUGCUUCUCCGGAUGAGUUGCGAACGGGUGAGUAACGCGUAGGUAACCUGCCUGGUAGCGGGGGAUAACUAUAGGAAACGAUAGCUAAUACCGCAUAAGAGUAGAUGUCGCAUGACAUUUGCUUAAAAGGUGCAACUGCACCACUACCAGAUGGCCCUGCGUUGUAUUAGCUAGUUGGGGAGGUAACGGCUCACCAAGGCAACGAUACAUAGCCGACCUGAGAGGGUGAUCUGCCACGCUGGGACUGGGACAUGGCCCAGAAUACUACGGGAGGCAGCCGUAGGGAAUCUUCGGCAAUGGACGGAAGUCUGACCGAUCAACGCCGCGUGAGUGAAGAAUGUUUUCGGAUCGUAAAGCUCUGUUAUAAGAGAAGAACGAGUGUGAGAGUGGAAAGUGCACACUGUGACGGUAUCUUACCAGAAAGCGACGGCUAACUCCGUG